GACGAACGCUGGCGGCGUGCCUAAUACAUGCAAGUCGAACGAGAGCGACCGGUGCUUGCACUGGUCAAUCUAGUGGCGAACGGGUGAGUAACACGUGGGUAACCUGCCCAUCAGAGGGGGAUAACAUUCGGAAACGGAUGCUAAAACCGCAUAGGUUCUUGAGCUGCAUGGUUCGAGAAGGAAAAGAGGCUUCGGCUUCUGCUGAUGGAUGGACCCGCGGUGCAUUAGCUAGUUGGUGAGGUAACGGCUCACCAAGGCCGUGAUGCAUAGCCGACCUGAGAGGGUGAUCGGCCACAUUGGGACUGAGACACGGCCCAAACUCCUACGGGAGGCAGCAGUAGGGAAUCUUCCGCAAUGGACGCAAGUCUGACGGAGCAACGCCGCGUGAGUGAAGAAGGAUUUCGGUUCGUAAAACUCUGUUGUUAGAGAAGAACAGCGCAUAGAGUAACUGUUAUGCGUGGACGGUAUCUAACCAGAAAGCCAC
rnacentral:rRNA from 1 species